rnacentral:rRNA from 1 species
AAAAUGUGUGUCCAAGCAGCAAGUCUGAGAACGAGUGAAAUGCUUUUUCUCUCAAGGACAAGCUGUGAUGGGGAGCGAAAUUUAGUAGCGAAGUUCCUGAUGUCACACUGCCAAGAAAAGCUUCUAGUGAGAAAGUAACUGCCCGUACCGCAAACCGACACAGGUAGUUGAGGAGGGAAUCCUAAGGUGUGCGAGAGAACUCUCGUUAAGGAACUCGGCAAAAUGACCCCGUAACUUCGGGAGAAGGGGUGCUGACCGCAAGGUCAGCCGCAGUGAAUAGGCCCAAGCGACUGUUUAUCAAAAACACAGGUCUCUGCAAAAUCGAAAGAUGACGUAUAGGGGCUGACGCCUGCCCGGUGCUGGAAGGUUAAGAGGAGAGGUUAGCGCAAGCGAAGCUUUGAAUUGAAGCCCCAGUAAACGGCGGCCGUAACUAUAACGGUCCUAAGGUAGCGAAAUUCCUUGUCGGGUAAGUUCCGACCCGCACGAAAGGCGUAACGAUUUGGGCACUGUCUCAACGAGAGACUCGGUGAAAUCAUAGUACCAGUGAAGAUGCUGGUUACCCGCGACAGGACGGAAAGACCCCAUGGAGCUUUACUGCAGUUUGAUAUUGCGUGUUUGUAUCACAUGUACAGGAUAGGUAGGAGCCGAAGAUACCGGGACGCCAGUCUCGGAGGAGGCAACGGUGGGAUACUACCCUUGUGAUAUGACCACUCUAACCCGCUGCUCUAGCGAGCAGGGAGACAGUGUCAGACGGGCAGUUUGACUGGGGCGGUCGCCUCCAAAAAUGUAACGGAGGCGCCCAAAGGUUCCCUCAGAAUGGUUGGAAAUCAUUCGUAGAGUGUAAAGGCAGAAGGGAGCUUGACUGCGAGACCUACAAGUCGAGCAGGGACGAAAGUCGGGCUUAGUGAUCCGGUGGUUCCGCAUGGAAGGGCCAUCGCUCAACGGAUAAAAGCUACCCUGGGGAUAACAGGCUUAUCUCCCCCAAGAGUUCACAUCGACGGGGAGGUUUGGCACCUCGAUGUCGGCACAUCGCAUCCUGGGGCUGUAGUCGGUCCCAAGGGUUGGGCUGUUCGCCCAUUAAAGCGGUACGCGAGCUGGGUUCAGAACGUCGUGAGACAGUUCGGUCCCUAUCCGUCGCGGGCGUUGGAAAUUUGAGAGGAGCUGUCCUUAGUACGAGAGGACCGGGAUGGACACACCGCUGGUGUACCAGUUGUUCUGCCAAGAGCAUCGCUGGGUAGCUAUGUGUGGACGGGAUAAACGCUGAAAGCAUCUAAGCGUGAAGCCCCCCUCAAGAUGAGAUUUCCCAUCACUUUAAGUGAGUAAGACCCCUGAGAGAUGAUCAGGUAGAUAGGUUGGGAGUGGAAGUACAGCGAUGUAUGGAGCGGACCAAUACUAAUCGGUCGAGGACUUAACCAA